UUAAUUAUCUGCUGGCUGUCAGUAUAGAUCGAUUACCGAGAACAUCUUAACUCUAAUUACAAAACACGCGCUUGUAAAACCAUGUUGCCAAGCAGAUGAGACUUGAUUUGAUCAACAGACCUUAUUAAAUGAUCAAACCCGUUGCACACCGGAAACACCUGAGUAUUUAUCUGGGAUAAGAGGGCUAAUGUUGCUCAAACAGGGCAAAGUCAUGCAGUGCUGAGUGCAUCCACAACCCCCCUCGGGCUCCCCAUGCACGGACACACCCAGGCCGGCGUAACCUGCGGUCUCCGCAAACAGCCUGUAACGCCUCGCUGGUUAUCAUACACACUGAACCAGGAACAGGCAGCCACUCAGGAUCCGCACGGAAAGACUUUCUAGGACAUGGAGACUUCAUUGAAGAUAGAGGACAGUAAUCCCCCAGCAAAGACUGAGAUGUGGUGGGGCACCUUGGGUACAGUCCGGCCUUUCCCUGGCUUUAAUCCUCAGAAGGAUGCCCAAGAAAUCAAGACUGCUCUGGAGAAAAAAGAUGGGAACACCCUGGUGAGGAUCCUGACCAACCGCACCAAUGCACAGAGACAGCUCAUCGCUCGGGCCUACCACAACCUCACGGGGAAGGACAUGAGUUUCACUCUGAAGAAAUGCUUGUCAGGGGCUCUGCAGGACCUGAUGCUGGGGCUCGUGAUGACUCCCUCACAGUUUGAUGCCCACCGCCUCCGGCAGGCCAUGGAGGGCCUGGGUACAGAUGAGGAGGCCUUACUGGAGGUGCUGUGCACCAGAUCAACAGAGCAGCUCAAAGACAUUACUGUCGCCUAUAAGCAGGAGUUUGAUCGAUACCUGGAGAAUGAUCUGAUCAGUGAGACCAGCAAAGACUUCACCACGCUGCUUCUGGCCAUUCUUAAGAAACAGCGGGAGAACCAGCAGGGAGUAAUUGAUUAUGAGCUCAUCGAUGGAGACGUCAAUACUUUGACUGAUGCCUUCAGCAGUAAGAAAGUUGACAUUGCGCCUUGGAUCAAGGUGCUCACCACGCGUGAUGCAGAACACCUUAAUAGAGUGUUGUCCAAGUGGGAGCGUGUUCAGGGGGUUCUUGUGGAAAAAGUGAUACAAAAUCACUUCUCUGGGGAUCUGAAACUGGGGUUCCGCAUUCUAGUGCAGUCCAUCCAGAACAGCCCUCUGUACCUGGCGCAACGUCUGCAGACCUCCAUGAAGAAGAGUUCUGUGGUACGGGGCAUUCUGGUGUCGCAUUGUGAGGAAGACCUGCUCAGCAUUAGGGUGGAGUUCCGUCGGCUGGCUGGACUCUCCCUCUACUCAGCCCUGCAGGAAGUGUACAACCUUCAGCUCUCCUUUCUACUUUGAGUCAUCUACUUCAUUUGAUGAAACAAUGGCGGCAACAUGUUUCCAUGCAGAAAGAUUUCAAAGGAGAACUUCAGCAGGCCUUUCUAGCCUUGUGUGGAGCUGAAGACUUAUAGACUUCCUGAGAUGUAUUUGGUCCAUUUCAACUGGUUUAAAUGCCUAGAAUCAAUUCCUCUAACAAACUCCUACCUCCAGUGUGUGUAUAGGGGAAAGUCUGACCAACUCUGUGAACAUAAGCGCACGGCACAGGUAGAGUGGACAUUGGUAAACUGGGACAGCUUAAUAGACCACAGGAGCAUGAAGAGUAUAACUGUCCCAGUUUUCCCUUUGUCCUACUCUAGGUCGAAAUGGGAUAUUAUUAAGGGAUUCUGCCUCUUUUGAGGGUAGAUGUGAGUACUGAGGUAAAGAGACACAAAUGAAAGCCUUUCAAUAAACAAAUAUAAAACAAA